UGACGUGAACGCUGACGGUUUAAUUGAUGC
rnacentral:piRNA from 1 species